AUAACCCGUUAAUGUCGCCGGGUAGAUCUUAUACUCAUUCCUUUCUAUUGAAGCCACCAAAUCUGAGGAUCGAAGCAAUUAUCGAAGCUCUUCAAGAAAAGAAACUUGUUGGAAUAGGUUAAUGGAGUUUAUGCAAGAGAUGAGUCAGCAAAGGUAG